UACGAAGGGUGGCAAACGUUGCUCGGAAUUAUUGGGGCGUAAAGCGCACGUAGGCGGCUUAGCAAGUCGGAAGAUGAAAUCCCUCGGCUCACCAAGGAAGUGCUUUCGAAACUGCUGAGCUUGAGUACGAAAGAGGAUCGCGGAAUUCCCGGUGUAGAGGUGAAAUUCGUAGAUAUCGGGAGGAACACCAGCGGCGAAGGCGGCCAUCUGGACAGAUAGUUGACGCUGAGGUGCGAAAGCGUGGGGAGCAAACAGGG
rnacentral:rRNA from 1 species